GCGAACGUUGUUCGGAAUCACUGGGCUUAAAGGGCGCGUAGGCGGGCUGCCAAGUUUGGGGUGAAAUCCUCCGGCUCAACCGGGGAAGGGCCUCGAAUACUGGCGGUCUGGAGGGAGGUAGGGGCGUGCGGAACUGUAGGUGGAGCGGUGAAAUGCGUUGAUAUCUACAGGAACUCCGGUGGCGAAGGCGGCACGCUGGACCUUUUCUGACGCUGAGGCGCGAAAGCCAGGGGAGCGAACGGG
rnacentral:rRNA from 1 species